AGAGUGAACUCCUCUACUGGGGGCGGGAAUGAGUCAGUCCCGGGCUCUCGUGCUGGGGCUUGGGGGUGGGGUCUGCGCGCGGGAUUCGGGGGCGCGGGGACCACAGCUGUCUGACUGAGAAAUUCUCGAGUUUCCGAGUGGGAGGGUCGCGCGAGGCCGUGAGGGGUCUCUGGGGAGCGGAGCCACGCGCUGCCUUCUCCCAGGUGCAGAGGCCGGUUAGGAUUUGAAUUCCGUACCCUGCGCUCUCAACGGCAGUCGGGCUGAGGGGAGACUGGAGGAGCCUAGUCCCGUCUCCUCUUCACCAUGCCAUUUCUUGAAAAAGAGGAAAACAGUGAACCUAUGUUGAUGAAAAAUGAAACACGCCUGCAAAUCUUAAAGAACAAGGAGCAGAGAAAGAGACUUGUUCAUGAAAUUUGUACUUUUUUAGAUAGCAGCCAGUCUGUCCAAGAAAUUGAUGCUUUAAGGACAGAAAACAGGAAAUUAAAAAAUGCGAACUCAAGGCUUCGAUAUAAGACAAAGGAUUGGGCAUUAAAGAAAGAAGAAUAUGAAAAUGAGAUUGAGAGGCUGUCUAGUGAGAUAUCAAAUUAUUUAAAUGCCACCAAUUUUUGGUAUCAAGACACAGAGCUUCUUAAUGAUGAGCAUAAUAAUAUACCAAGGGAACAGGCAAACAAUGUAAGCACUCAGACAGAGGGCGCCCUUGGACCAGUAAAAAGAAAUGUUACAACACAGACUGGAGAAGAUGACACUAGACACACAAGUAAAAAACACUUAUCACAGGACGAAUAUGAACAAUAGAAGAGCAGCUAGCUACUAUUUUUAAAGGCCUGGACAACAGAUUGUUUUAUGUUGCUUCAAGUUUGUCUUCUCAUUGAAUUACUCAAUUGUAUGAAUGAAUUAAAGAGACAUGUUAUCUCAGUUCUUUCAA
rnacentral:lncRNA from 1 species